AGUGGAUGGGGAGCAACCUAGUUGUGCGUGUGUAAAGGUAGUGCCAAGAAAAGCGAUGAUCAUGUUGAAAAUCAAUUCCCGGUACCCGAAACCGACACAGGUGGGCAAGUAGAGAAUACUAAGGGGCGCGAGGUAACUCUCUCCAAGGAACUCGGCAAAAUGACCCCGUAACUUAGGGAGAAGGGGUGCCACCGAGAGGUGGUCGCAGUGAAGAGGCCCAGGCGACUGUUUAGCAAAAACAUAGGUCUCUGCAAACUCGAAAGAGGAGGUAUAGGGGCUGACGCCUGCCCAGUGCCGGAAGGUUAAAGAAGUUGGUCAGUUUUAGGAUGAAGCUAGCGACUGAAGCCCCGGUGAACGGCGGCCGUAACUAUAACGGUCCUAAGGUAGCGAAAUUCCUUGUCGGGUAAGUUCCGACCCGCACGAAAGGCGUAACGAUCUGGGCGCUGUCUCGGAGAGAGGCUCGGCGAAAUAGGAUUGUCUGUGAAGAUACGGACUACCUGCAUUUGGACAGAAAGACCCUAUGAAGCUUUACUAUAGCUUGGAAUUGUGUUCGGGCUUCCUGUGCGCAGGAUAGGUGGGAGGCGAAGAAGGUAUUCUUGUGGGGAUACUGGAGCCAACGGUGAGAUACCACUCUCAGGAGGCUAGAAUUCUAACUUAAUUAAGGACAGUUUCAGGUGGGUAGUUUGACUGGGGCGGUCGCCUCCAAAAAGGUAACGGAGGCGUACAAAGGUUCCCUCAGACUGGUUGGAAAUCAGUCGCAGAGUGCAAAGGCAGAAGGGAGCUUGACUGCGAGAAGUACAGUUCGAGCAGGGUGGAAACACGGUCUUAGUGAUCCGACGGUGCUGUGUGGAAGGGCCGUCGCUCAACGGAUAAAAGUUACUCUAGGAUAACAGGCUGAUCUCCCCCAAGAGUUCACAUCGACGGGGAGGUUUGGCACCUCGAUGUCGGCUCAUCGCAACCUGGGGCGGAAGUACGUCCCAAGGGUUGGGCUGUUCGCCCAUUAAAGCGGUACGUGAGCUGGGUUCAGAACGUCGUGAGACAGUUCGGUCCAUAUCCGAUGUAGGCGUGAGAAUAUUGAGAGGAGCCUUCCUUAGUACGAGAGGACCGGGAAGGACGCACCGCUGGUGUACCUGUUAUGAUGCCAAUUGUAAACGCAGGGUAGCCAAGUGCGGAGAGGAUAACCGCUGAAAGCAUCUAAGUGGGAAGCCCACCUCAAGAUGAGUAUUCUGGUGUAAGGUCACGGGAAGACGACCCGUAAAUAGGCACGAGGUGGAAGUGCAGAGAUGUAUGAAGCCGAAGUGUACUAAUAGACCGUCGGCUUGACC
rnacentral:rRNA from 1 species